rnacentral:lncRNA from 1 species
GCCCACCAAAGAGUUCAAAGAAGACUGAUGAAGUUCAGGGUGUUGUAGAUAUAAGUUUCUAAAAUACACUAUCAAGUAAAGUUAACAAAUAUGGCAAGCUUAAUUUCUCAUAGUUUGUUUUUUGUUUUUGAAUCUCUCAAAUGAGAUACAGAUUGGUCACAUUAAAGCAACACCCAGGUUCUAGAAUACAUUCUCUAUUGAUUCAUGGAGACAAGUGAGUUGAAGACUGAUUUGUUUAAGCAUCACAUAAUCAAAUGAGAAUGACAGCGAGGUACAGUAUUGAAAUAUAAGUAAAUUAAGACAGGCCUAUCUGAUCAAAAUUCACAUGAUCUACAAAUACAAACAAAUCACUGAUACUUUUGAAAAGCCUUUGGAUCUUUGUACCUAUUGUCUUUACUGAACAGAAGUGAAUUCAUAUUCUUCAAGACCUACCUGCACUCAAAAUAAGCACAAAA